UGGGGAAUAUUGGACAAUGGGCGAAAGCCUGAUCCAGCCAUGCCGCGUGUGUGAAGAAGGCCUUUUGGUUGUAAAGCACUUUAAGCGAGGAGGAGGCUACUAGUACUAAUACUACUGGAUAGUGGACGUUACUCGCAGAAUAAGCACCGGCUAACUCUGUGCCAGCAGCCGCGGUAAUACAGAGGGUGCGAGCGUUAAUCGGAUUUACUGGGCGUAAAGCGUGCGUAGGCGGCUGAUUAAGUCGGAUGUGAAAUCCCUGAGCUUAACUUAGGAAUUGCAUUCGAUACUGGUCAGAUAGAGUAUGGGAGAGGAUGGUAGAAUUCCAGGUGUAGCGGUGAAAUGCGUAGAGAUCUGGAGGAAUACCGAUGGCGAAGGCAGCCAUCUGGCCUAAUACUGACGCUGAGGUACGAAAGCAUGGGGAGCAAACAGG
rnacentral:rRNA from 1 species